UUACCCAUCAGAGAAUGGCUACCCGGUGAGAAUGGGACCGUUAACCUUCUUGCGCACUACAGGCGGCUUGGGUUAGCCGCGAAAUGCACGCUUUGUAAAUAACCAUUGUUAAACACGAAAUGUUUCACAACACAUAAUAAAACACAACAACCACUGAUCUUUAGAUGCACAUAAUAUCUUUAAUGUACGAGAACAGAAUGCCAGAGGAUGUUCUGAAUAUAACAAAAGAGUGCAUGGCAUUCCGGAACCAAACGCCCCUCUUUUUCACUGUAUUCACACCCCUCUUUUUCACUUCCAACACUCCGUACCAUUCCAAUAAACUUGCGUGUGUGCGGUAUUUGCGGUGUGUGCGGUAUUUACGUUGUGUGCGAUAUUUGCGGUGUGUGCGGUAUUUGUGGUGUG